rnacentral:rRNA from 1 species
AGUGAACGCUGGCGGUAGGCCUAGCACAUGCAAGUCGAACGGCAGCACAGUAAGAGCUUGCUCUUACGGGUGGCGAGUGGCGGACGGGUGAGGAAUACAUCGGAAUCUACUUUUUCGUGGGGGAUAACGUAGGGAAACUUACGCUAAUACCGCAUACGACCUACGGGUGAAAGCAGGGGAUCUUCGGACCUUGCGCGAUUGAAUGAGCCGAUGUCGGAUUAGCUAGUUGGCGGGGUAAAGGCCCACCAAGGCGACGAUCCGUAGCUGGUCUGAGAGGAUGAUCAGCCACACUGGAACUGAGACACGGUCCAGACUCCUACGGGAGGCAGCAGUGGGGAAUAUUGGACAAUGGGCGCAAGCCUGAUCCAGCCAUACCGCGUGGGUGAAGAAGGCCUUCGGGUUGUAAAGCCCUUUUGUUGGCAAAGAAAAGCAGCAGGUUAAUACCCCGCUGUUCUGACGGUACCCAAAGAAUAAGCACCGGCUAACUUCGUG